rnacentral:rRNA from 1 species
GAACGAGACCUUCGGGUCUAGUGGCGCACGGGUGCGUAACGCGUGGGAAUCUGCCCUUGGGUUCGGAAUAACAGUUAGAAAUGACUGCUAAUACCGGAUGAUGACGUAAGUCCAAAGAUUUAUCGCCCAAGGAUGAGCCCGCGUAGGAUUAGCUUGUUGGUGAGGUAAAAGCUCACCAAGGCGACGAUCCUUAGCUGGUCUGAGAGGAUGAUCAGCCACACUGGGACUGAGACACGGCCCAGACUCGUACGGGAGGCAGCAGUGGGGAAUAUUGGACAAUGGGCGAAAGCCUGAUCCAGCAAUGCCGCGUGAGUGAUGAAGGCCUUAGGGUUGUAAAGCUCUUUUACCCGGGAUGAUAAUGACAGUACGCGGGAGAAUAAGGUCCGGCUAACUCCGUG